GAUACGAUUACUAAGAAAUUGACUGUUGUUUUAUAUUUCAAGCAAUAAGGGCAAGUUUAUCCUCAGGACUAGUUGUAGCUGAUGGUCGAGCCAAGACUCCCAAACGCGUGGAGUUGACAUAAUCAAGUGGGAAAUGAUUAGUGACGCCAGGGAAUAUUAUUCCCAAAACCCUAACAGACUUCAUUAUCCAAUUCUCUUUGUACUCUUUGCCUUUCCAAAACUGUAUUAUAAAGCUCCUUAUAAACUCCCACGCACCAUUCAACACUUUCGGUAUUAACCACACCAAGCUGAAGUAGUUCGCAUUCGGUGCAUCUUCUUUUACCUUCAAAUUCAUAUAUAAUCAUUUGGUAGUAAAUAAAAAAGUAGAUAUCAUAAAAGAAUUAUAAAACUGCUCAAAAUUAUAAAUUGAAAGAUAUAAAAUUUGAAAUAUAGAUUAUUAUUUGUUAUGUCAAUUUUUCUGUGAAAAGUGACAAUUCUAUAUAAAGGCCAAAAUAAAAGUCUCUUCUUUCCCUUUAAAAUUUUCUACUCUCUUUUGUUUUUCGUGUUUUUUAAAUAAUUUUUUUUUUAAAUAAUCUAGCAAGGCAAACAUAUAAUGGAAUACAUAAUGCUUUAAUUUACCUUUCCUUUGUAGAGACUGUUGAAGUAAAUGCAAGAUCCAUAGUGCUUGAAUGAGAAUAGAGCCUUGUCAUCAAAGGGUAUUCUAGGCACAAUAUCAUUGUUAUAAACAAACCUCUCAUACUGGAUUCCAUGCUUUCUCACCACUUCCUUCAUAAACUCUCCAAACUCCUCAUCCCCUACACGUGGCUGUCCAAAUGUGUAGACUCCCUCUAGCUUCUCUAGCAGCUCAUCCUCACCGUGAAUGGCCAGAACCAUCGGGAAAAGAGCAGCUAGUGCGCCACCGAGGCUGUGACCCGUUAGAAUGAACUUAAGGUUCUUAUCUUUGGCAAGCAUGUCCCUAAGCUUCUGUCUUAUAGUGUAGUAAGCAUAUUGUUGUCCGAGAGGUAAAAUUUCUUUUGGCCAUCCGUUUUUUUGGAGGCCUAGAGCUCUCGAGAAUCCAGCGUGGACUUUGCCAACGUUCUUCAACUCGUACCUAUUUAAAAGUUUGAUAAAUGAUAUAUGAAUUAAGAAGAGUGAUUAUAUUGAUAUCUAUAUAUAUAUAUAUAUCUAUAUGUAUGUAUAACGUAUAUACGCACCAAGAGAUGUCGAGAUCAGUGCACCAAUCAUCAGCGUCGAAAGGAUCGGUUCCUCUAAAGCUAACGACGAUGAGGUUUGGAUUUGUGCUCGACGCCUUGAACACGAAGGCUAGCGUUAGGUUUCUUUCUUGGAACGCUGACCAAAGAUAUAAAAACUUAGAAAUUUAGAUAUCUUUGUUUCAAAUAUUAUUUAGAUUUGUUUCAAUUUAUAUAGUUUCAGACACCUAUAUAAAAUUUAUUUUUAGAAGCAUAUUUGUUGAUGUAAAAAUAAUAAUUUAAAAACAUAGGAACUCAUAAUAUAUAUAUAUAUUUUUGUUUUUUUGUUCUAGAUCGAGAAAUCCACACUAAUCUCAAACAUUGGCUUCAAUCCGAGAAACAAAUCAUUCAUCAUUCUAAUUCAAUACUCUAAAUAGUUUUUUUUUUCAAAUUUCUUAAACAAAAAAAAAUAUUUAUAUCUUUUUUCUUAGACAAUAAAUUUAGAACUGAGCAUUAUAUGCGAAUUGUUGUCAAAACAAGAUCAUUGCUUGAUGAUUAUAUUACCUCCUUAUAUCAUAAUUUUGAUAUUUCAUCGUUUAAUACAAGAAGAUAGUAUACUCAAUUUUUUCCCAAUUAAACCAUCUACUAUCAUGCAGUUUUUGAUUUUAAAAAUCUUGGGUGACUUCUUCUUUUGAGUGAAUGAUUAAAAAUGGUUAAAGAAAAAGGAGAACCAACAUAUUGAAAUUUUAGUUGGGAAAUAAGCAUACGGACGCACCAAAUUUACAUAGAAAUCAUAAACUUAGUUUUAAAAUAAUAUGCUAAAGUAAAGUCUUUUACGCGUGUUUUCUAUAUAUGCAAUCGUAAAAUUUACAAAAGCAAAAAUAUACAACUUAAUGUAUUAAAAAUGUAAAUUUCUUUUUCAAAUCUCUAGCUGAAAUUUAUUAAUUUUAAAAUUCUUUCAGAAUAUAUAGUAUCGCCAUCAAGUGUAAUUGUGAAUGAGACAUAUCUUAAAUAUAAAAAUAUCUAUUCACAUUUAAAUUCUCAUAAAAGUUAGAAUUUGGAAUUAAUUAAAAACUGAAAUAUCUCUAAAAUAUGAUAUGUGUAGUGACUCUCUAAUGUUAGUAACAUUUCUUAUCCUAUACUUUAACAGAAUUCGAACAAAUUAGCAUAGUAAAAUAUAUUUUUCCAUAUUGCAUUAAUAUAUAUUAUUGAUAUUUAAAAUAAUUUAGAUUAUAUUGCCAUAUUUAAAAUGGAAUCUAAAAUUUUUCGAUCAUUAAAACUGAAGACAUUUUACACUCGUUAUUCGUAUUUAGACUUAAUAUUCAUCAAAGUACGCUUCUAUGAUAAACUAUAUCCAUGAGACGACACAUUUAAAAUUAGUAGGGUCCCUUUGCUUAGAUGCAUUUAUUUCCACACGAUAUUGAUUUAGAGUUCUAUUGGCCUUUAUUUUUCAUCUAUUUUUGUCAACGACCUAGUUGGCAUCUAUAUCUCUUUAUAUCAUCAUGAGUGAUCAUGACCUUGUAGACCUAUCUUUGUAGUCAAAAAUGAAAGACAUUUAUAUUUAUUUAUUCACUGGUAAAAACUUCUUCCAUUUUUUAUUACUAUCACCAUUAAUAUGCUCUUUUUUGGAUCAAAUUAUCACUAAUAUGCGUUAUGGUUAUGUUUUUUGUAUUCAUCUUUCAAAAGCUUUAAGACUUUUGAAGCUUUAUUUAUGACUUUUCUUGUAUUGAUCUUUCAAAUUCUUUAUGCACUAAAAUGGGAAAUGAAACACAUUUCCCUAAAAGGAACGAAGCGUAGUAUUUAACUUACCGUUGUAAAAGUCGUAGAAACCCACGAAGUCCAUCUGUAUCACAGGAUGGAUAGUCAUACAGAGAGAGUGUGACAAGUAAAAUAAACACUAAAGAUAUAUAUAUAUAUAUAUAUAUGUAUCUAUAAAGACACGAAAACAAUCUUACUGCUUAUUAAAGAUACAAACCUAAUCAAUUCGUAUCCUAUAGACUAAGCAAAAAUUAUAAUACAUUAGUACAAAAUCAGUGGUCUAUUACAUGUAUAUCUCUUGUGAUCUUUUAGAUUAGUUAGUUAGAUUAUUUUAUAGUAGUGUAAAAUUGUAUGAUCAAUAUCUUUAAAUAACACACAGAAAUGGCUUGAUCUUUUGUGCCUCUUUGAAUCUUAUCUCUGCUUAUAGAGAUCUAGUCAUCUAGUAUAUUAUAGAGUUAAAAUUUAUUAUUAGCAGUCAAACGCCAAAGAUAUACACGAUAAAAAAUUACUAAAAAAUUCCAGUCUUCUAGUAGCUAGUUUUUUCAUUUUUUCAACAAUAAGCAAAAUUAUUUGUAUGAUUAUAUUUAUACAAUAUAACUAAAGAGAGAUGAAAAAACCUUCCAAGUGUUCUUGACGACGGAACUGAUGAAAGAUUUGUUUUCAUAAGCGAUCUUAGAAGCCAUUAUUGACAACAUCGACUUGUAUUCGAUGGUACCAACAUUUAUCUUCUCGUCAAGUUCUACUCUUCGAUCUGUGCAUCCUGUAAAAGAUGUAAAUGCCGCGGACGAUUCCUCAGGCUUCACCAACUUUCCUGUAACAAAUCCAGACUUUGUGUUAGUCCUGUGAAAAAUACUUGAUCAACACCAUCCAGAAAAUGAUCUAAAAUAGUCUUAUCAAUUUUUUCAAAAAGUUUUCCAAACCUAGAUGAUUUUUUUUUUAUCAAACGAAGCUUCAUUAAGUAGUUUAUUUUGAUGUGUGUGCUAUAGCGUCUUACAUAUAUAGUAAUCCUUGUUCUGUCUCAAAUCCGUUUGAAGUGUGAUAAAGUAUCACAUUAGUCAAGUCCAAAAGUCCGUGGGGGUUGUUAUAUAUUUGCUUGUUUGAGAUUUUUAAAAUGGUCCUUGAGAGGUUUGAUUUUCUCGGGAUACUAUAUCAUAUGUAAAAGAAAGGAAACAGCUUCAACCAUCAAGUUCAAGAAUUAAUGUGGUAAUAGAAAUACAUUGAGAUAGUGAAUAAAAGUAUUCUAUCGUUAGAUUUCUUACCUGUCAAAAGAUGAAGUAUCAACUUGAAGAAGCCUCCAUUUGCCGUAAGAAUGUUAGGCCAAUAGGUGAGCAAAGCACCUACGAAUGCAAAGGGUUUUCUUAUGAGUAUUAAUAUCUUUUGAAGCAAAAUGGCAAGGGCAACGAUCAAUCGGCUCGCGAAACUUCUCCGGAUGCUUUUGAGCGUAUCCGGUGGUGAAUCUAUGAAUCGUGUGCUGGUAAAGUUGCGGGAAAACAAAAGGAUAAGGAGAUCAAGAACACUUGCUUUGGUCGGAUCGAGCAGAAAAUAACUACUACAGAAUUUCAUGUCGGUUCCGGACAUUAUCACAAUAUGAAAAGAAGAACAAACUUUGCCCAAAAAUAAGAAGAAAGAAGUGAUUUUGGUUUAUUUGUGAGUCAUACAACCUAGAGCGAGGCUACGUAUUUAUAGUGUUAGUAAUAAUUGAGAUCGUAAUUUUUUAGUUAUUUAUUUAACAAUAUACUGUAGUUUUAAAGACAAUCAUCAAACUAAAAACCCUCGUUAUUCACGUGCAAAAUAAUAUUUCAAAAUGAAACUAUUGGUUGACAUUCUAACCUAAACGACCUUGCAAAUCUCGAGUUCUUUUGUUUUAAUUAACGUGGAAAACCAGGCAUAAAUAUAAUAUGUUUCCUUGUUUCUUACUUUUAAAAACAUAUAUUUAGAUAAGUGAAUUAGUAAUCCCGGAAGUUGGAAAUAUAAUCUUAAACCAAUUCCGUUCAUCUCUCAAAUUUUCAUUUUCUCUUCUUCCACUGUCAUCAUUCCUCAUUUUCUCCAAAGGUUGUAUAUUCCAAUAUAUACUGUAGUGGGUUUACUUUUGAGUCACCAGUUUCAGUAAAGAUUUAUAUAUGUUUUAAUACAGAAAGAUAGUAUAUGCUUUUGAGUCACUCGUUUUACUCUUAUUAUAUUUGUUGUCUUAAGAAUAUUUAAUACUGAAAUAUGACUAAAUUAGAUCUCAGAUCUAUAGACUUUAAAAUUGACAGACUAUAUUAUUUUUUUGGUGAAAACUGUUUUUUUUUUACGAAAAAAAAUUAUAUAAAUAAGAAAUAGAUAUAUUGGUAAAUUUUAUUUAAUUUUGAUGAGAAAUAUAAAUUUUUAUUUAGAUUUUUAUUAUAAUUAAAUGUAUCCUUGACUUUUGGUUUUCAAAUUCAAUAGCUAAAUGCAGAUUUUAAAGUGUUUAAACGAACAAUAUUGGAACAUAAAUUUACAUCUAGAUGUAGCGUUUGGACACAAAACAAACAUAACCUUAGUGAAUUAAUAGUCCAAGAAGUUAAAUAUAUAAUACUAAAUCAAUUAAGUUCAUCUCUCAAAUUUUCGUUUUUUGUUUUCCACAGUCAACAUUUCUCCAAAGUUGGUAUAUUCCAAUAUAUCUUGUAGUGGGUAUGUAUAUGAUGAUAUUCUAUACGGUAAUUAUUUUUUUACUAAAAAGUUAAGGGUUUUGCGGUUAUAGAAAUCAUUUUUUAAUCUCUACUUUGGUCUUGAAAAUAAUUUGAUUUCCAUAUUUUCUGUAAUGGAAUAUGAAGGCGUUGUCAGACUUAUAUAUUCGACUACGCAUUGAAAGAUCUUUCCCGUCGUGAUGCAUGUUCCGCUCCCUUCAAACAUGAUAGGAAGGUUGAUCCCACCAAAUGGUGAAGGAAACACCGACAAGACCUCAGGUUGUGCAUCUCCAGCUUAGUUCGAUAAAGAGGCAUUAUGAAAACAAGAUGAUUAUGGUUGUGGAUGCUAACAUCCGUUAUUCUAAAUGGGUAUUCAGGAGUACGUUGAAUAAUGAGUUCAAUGCUAAGUUUCUUUUGGUAAUCUCCGGAAAUUAGGCUGGACAAAGUCUAAUAACAUUCAAAGAUGAUGGAAUAUAUUUCUAUUUAAGGUUUAUAGAUAACAUGGGUCAAUUUUGGAUUUAUUUGAUUGUGGUUUAUACAACGUAAUAUUUGGAUAAAUGUGGAUCUUAAUCUAAAAUCUAUUUAUACAGAUCAUUAUUAUACGAUAAUUAAUAUUAAACAUCUAAAUAUUAUUUACUUGCAUAAGGCAUGCAUAUCCUAAUAUUAAGAGAACACGUUUGUUUUUUUAAUAACCUUUUAUUUAAUAAUAUCAAUGUGGUAAAAUCAAAAUAAGGGUUUCCAUAUUAUGACAUAUAUGACUGAUUGGUAUAUGUUACACUAUAACGAAAGCAAUAAGUUGAUAAAUUAGAAUCAAAGUUGUCAUAUAUCAAAUUGAUUAUAUCUAUCAGAUAGACUUAAAAAAAGAUAUAAUUUAAUUUUUGUGUUUCAAUGUUUGGUAUGUGAAUUAGGUGGUCCGAGUCAAUGUAACUUGGUUGGGCUUUCUUUGGUGAAAAUAUAUAUGAAAAUUAACUAUUUUGAUACCAAAUGACAGGUCUCAAUCAAAACAAAUGAUCAGAAUUGCAAGUAUCAUUUUUGGAAAGAAAGUCUUUUUGCCUUUAUUUGUUUUGUUCCCGUCUUUAUGUAAAUAAAUUAUAACCUUUUGAUCCUUACAAAUAGAAGACAACAACUGAAGUGGGAAUAAACAACUGGGUAUUUUUCUCUCUCUCUUUUUAAGCAAAUAAGGGAAAUAAAAAACAAGUACCAAAUGAAAUCAUCCAUUAUUUAGUCUGAAGACUUAGUACAUAUAUCGAGAAUUGGGUUUCCUCAACAAGCCUUGGUCUUUCUUCUGCAUAACUUGAGUGUGACUGCUCUUCAUAUCAUUACAUAUUGAAUGGAUUUGAAUUUAUUUCAAGCAAUGAGGGCAAGUUUAUCAUCAGGAGGAGUAGUAGUAACAGGUCGAGCCAAGCCUCCCAAACGCGUGGAGUUGACAUAAUCACGUGGGAAAUGGUCAGAUGCACCAGGGACUAGUAUUCCCACAAUCCUCAUAGACCUCAUCGUCCAGUUCUCUUUGUACUCACUGCCUUUCCAAAACUGUAUUAUGAAAC
rnacentral:lncRNA from 1 species